CGUCUGAAGAAAAGGAGGAAGACAAGAAAGAGAAGUACGAGGGGAAUCUCAAGCGCCACUCUCCUGGGUUCAGCCUGUUGUCAUAGUAACAGCAGCGAGGCAAGACGAGCGGCAGACAGGCAGAUUCCCUCCUUCGUGAUCUCAGCCUCUCUUUAUGUCUCUCGCCCAGACAUUAGUGGACAGCUGAUCUUAGUCCCCGGUUGUGCCUGUCUUCUGGUUCCUCUGCUGAUGGAAGAUGGGCUGACAGCGAGGAGACGACUGGCCACUCCACACACGGACGCCAACCAGCAGCAUGUCUGGAGGAAUGUUGCUGCCUGGGAGCCACUUUGAAAUGCUGCUCCUGACUCCGUCCUCCACCACAGCCUCCGCUGUGCGAGGCGCUGUCUGUGUGACUGGAGAAGAUCCACAAACUACCAAGCAGGAGACAAAUGUAGGCGGAGGACACACUCGGGGCCCCUCCUGUUUCACUCCAGAUCUCGUCUCCGACGUGCUGAAGGAAGACGCCCAAACCCGCUGACCCACUGCUCAAAACCUGCUUGACACACAUAAGCUCUGGCCACGGCGCUGACCGCGUUCACUAGGCGUUUGUUCUGCUUGUGAAACCCACUUGCUGAUUCUUGGCGUAAAACGUCGCAAUUCAAAACUGAGAAGAGAAGAGUCAUCAGUUUAAAAUCAUUACUGUUUACGAUAGUUUGAGCUCAAGAACACAUGAAAAUACUCAGUUUUGGUUGCAUUUAAUGUGAGACAUAACAUGUCAAACUACAAACUCCAGAUUCUGAAACAGUUGUUAUCAACACAUAUCUGGAAGUUGACACCAGGUCUUAGAAAUGGCAAACCUUUUAUAUGUCAGCUAAAAAAACCACCAAAAGGCAGUGGACCAAGAACCAAGACUUGGGGUACACCUGUAAUAAUUUUUGAAGCAAUGAUCUCUCUACACAUAUGACAACACAGUUUUCCACAACAUACUGAGCUUUUCUUUGAAAAGAAGUCCUCAAUUGUCAUUUCUGAAUAGAAAUAUCAUAAAUUAAAAAGUAAAGAUUUUAAAAUCCAACCCAGUUAUUGCAGUCUGAUUGUGUGACGAAUUGCUCUGUAUAUUUAAGAAGCAAUUACAAAUCUCUGGAUACGACUGAAAAGACGUAACAUUUAGGUAACCUCAUGUCCUCUGUACCACAGUAACAGCCUGAUAACUACUUGGAAACAAUACAGAUUACAGCAGAGUGAGGGAGUUGAUUUUAAAUCUGUUUAAGAGCAAAACCAGUGGCAAAAACCUCUGACGACAUUUGGCCAAUCAGUUCUGAAAUCACAAGGACAGACUACAAAUGUGAAGAUCUAAAAAUAUUGAUAUAUAGUGUAGUUUAUUUUUGUGGAGCCACUGUGACCACUGCUUAACAUAAGCUGCAAGGAUGUUAUUUUAUUUUAUUAAAACUUUCUGGAAGGUUCAGGUCAAAGUUGUUGGUUUAUUUUUUCAGGUAAAGGUCAUUUUAUUUAUGAAGCACAUUUUCAGCAACCAUGCAAUACAAGGUGCUUUACAGGAAAUACAAACAAAAUAAACUAAAGAAAAGAGCAAAAGAAGAAAACGCUAAUAAUGUUGAUCCAAAGCAAAUAAACUAGAUGCUCCUAUUCAGGGUUGGUAGAUAAGAAUAAGUGUCUUCUGGUCUAAUUCCUUUUCUGGGUUGGAAUAAUUGGAGUCUAACAAGUAGAUGCUCAGGUAGUUUUUCUGGACUCUUAAGUUCUAAUCCCUGUUCUGUGUUGCUAAAUAAGUGUAAUUAAAUAAGUAUCCUCUGGACUUUCUAAGUGUGUUCUAAAUUUGCAUCUAAGCGAUCACUGGAGCGUAAAGAAAAGUAAACCCUUUGAAUCUCUGAGACAGAAUUUGAAAUCGAGCCCACAAUAAACUAGUUACAGCACCUUUUAGCAGCCUGAAAUCCUGGUGUACUUUGUUUUUUAUUGCUAAAGCAAAGUGACUGAUUAUCCUUGAGCAAAAUGGCUCAAGCAACCCUGACUCCCCACUGUCCUCUCUGGAUAAACUCAAGUAGUUUUCCACGUUGUCAUCGGGUCCAGAUGCGUUGUCGUCCCGACAAAAGGGACGCAUAACCGACUCCUGGCUGGGACGUUUCAGGAUGACGGUAGCAUCUGUGGGGCUGGAGCGAAGCAGGGAGAUGGAAAAAAAUGUCAAGAGAGAUUAGCAGGGAUGGACGGGUUGUGAAGGAGACGGAGAAUACGAAGCAAUCUGAAGACGAGGCAGGAAUCGUAUCUGUGUAUGGAGAGGGCAGCUUCGUAUGCGACAGGACACACAUGUGUGAUUGUCUGUUUUAAUGCCUCGUUGGUUUGCUGGUCCACCACCUGCCAAGUUGUUUGCAAGAGACCGUGUGUGUGUGGGUGUGUGUAUGUGUGUGUGUUCACCAGCGACUGUGCAUAUAACUGUUGGUUACAAAUGGAUGAAAUCAUCUCUGAGUUGCUCAUCUGCUAUAAAAGCCUGAAAGAUAUGCACUAACUAUUGUUACAAAUGACAUAUUUCUGUUAAGAUGCCUUAAUGGGUUUUGGUGGCAUUUUAGUUUUAUAAAAUCAGAUCCUAUCUGGAGGCCUGCAACAAGAUACAGACAUUGGGAAAUCCUUUACAUGUAAUUUUUUUUUUUUUUAAAUCUGAAAGGAAGUGGACCAAGAACUAAGCCUUGAGGUACACCUUCAGUCAUUUUUGAAGUUAUGAUUUCUUUACACGUGGUGCAAUAUUUUUUUUUCUCCACAUUGUGCAAUGUACAACUUAAACCACUCUAAUGUUAAAGAGAACAAGAGUGGUCAUUUCUGAAUAGAUGCAGCAUGGUUUAAGAUUUUAAGGAUUUUGAAAUCCAGCCCAGAUACUUUACUGCAAUUGAGCCAAGAAGCAAAUAAAUAAAUCAAUCGCACGAUAAACUGAAUAAUUUUUAUUUGCUUGAUUCAUCGUUUUUCUCUUUUCUCUUUCUUUUUUAACAAAAACUGAAUGAUAAAAGUCUACAGUUUGGUCCUUUGGUCUCGACUAUGUCUUUCUUUGGGAGAUAACUUUGUUUAUGCAGACUUCAUAACUCAUUUAAUUUGUUGUUUCUGUUAUUUUGUUUAUUUAUUUUUAGACAUUUGAAACGUCUCCCAGUUCAAGUGUUUAACUAUUCAUUACAAUUUAAAGUUUAUUGAGCCUUGAGAAUGUGUUCUUGCAUUACUAUGAUAUUACGAUUAUGAUAAAUGGUCUCAAAACAACAAUAUUAUCGUUUAUCGCAAUAAGUUCUGGGACAGUUUAUGGUCCACCUGUUGUGACAAGUCUAAUUACAAGAGUCUGUUUAUGAGUGAAAAGAUUUAACAGUGAGGCAAUCUCACAUACUCUAUACCAAAGUAAAAACGUUCUUGUAAUGUUUGACUAGUUUAAUAUUAAAAUUUGACACCCAUGAGGAUUUCAAGACUGUUGCUUCUUUUGCAGCACUUUAUUUUUUGCUAGAUUUAAUUGGUUUUCAUUGAUUUCCCAUUGAGGCUUUUUGCUUAGUUAGAGAAAGCAAACUACGGAAAAACACAGUAAAGACAUCUUUAUUGCAAAGGUAUAUACACUUUAAACAGCGCAUAAUGGAAAUGAGAGAAAAAAAUUGCAAGAGGCUGUUUUCAUUUCAAAUCUAGU